rnacentral:rRNA from 1 species
UGCCUAUACAUGCAAGUCGAGCGGACAGAUGGGAGCUUGCUCCCUGAUGUUAGCGGCGGACGGGUGAGUAACACGUGGGUAACCUGCCUGUAAGACUGGGAUAACUCCGGGAAACCGGGGCUAAUACCGGAUGCUUGUUUGAACCGCAUGGUUCAAACAUAAAAGGUGGCUUCGGCUACCACUUACAGAUGGACCCGCGGCGCAUUAGCUAGUUGGUGAGGUAACGGCUCACCAAGGCAACGAUGCGUAGCCGACCUGAGAGGGUGAUCGGCCACACUGGGACUGAGACACGGCCCAGACUCCUACGGGAGGCAGCAGUAGGGAAUCUUCCGCAAUGGACGAAAGUCUGACGGAGCAACGCCGCGUGAGUGAUGAAGGUUUUCGGAUCGUAAAGCUCUGUUGUUAGGGAAGAACAAGUACCGUUCGAAUAGGGCGGUACCUUGACGGUACCUAACCAGAAAGCCACGGCUAACUACGUGCCAGCAGCCGCGGUAAUACGUAGGUGGCAAGCGUUGUCCGGAAUUAUUGGGCGUAAAGGGCUCGCAGGCGGUUUCUUAAGUCUGAUGUGAAAGCCCCCGGCUCAACCGGGGAGGGUCAUUGGAAACUGGGGAACUUGAGUGCAGAAGAGGAGAGUGGAAUUCCACGUGUAGCGGUGAAAUGCGUAGAGAUGUGGAGGAACACCA